UGGUGGAGUGAUUUGUCUGGUUAAUUCCGUUAACGAACGAGACCUCGACCUGCUAAAUAGUUUGGCGAACUCUUCUGGGUUCGUACAACACUUCUUAGAGGGACUAUCGGUGUGUAGCCGAUGGAAGUUUGAGGCAAUAACA
rnacentral:rRNA from 1 species